GACGAACGCUGGCGGCGUGCUUAACACAUGCAAGUCGAACGGAAAGGCCCUGCUUUUGUGGGGUGCUCGAGUGGCGAACGGGUGAGUAACACGUGAGUAACCUGCCCUUGACUUUGGGAUAACUUCAGGAGACUGGGGCUAAUACCGGAUAGGAGCUCCUGCUGCAUGGCGGGGGUUGGAAAGUUUCGGCGGUUGGGGAUGGACUCGCGGCUUAUCAGCUUGUUGGUGGGGUAGUGGCUUACCAAGGCUUUGACGGGUAGCCGGCCUGAGAGGGUGACCGGCCACAUUGGGACUGAGAUACGGCCCAGACUCCUACGGGAGGCAGCAGUGGGGAAUAUUGCACAAUGGGCGGAAGCCUGAUGCAGCAACGCCGCGUGCGGGAUGACGGCCUUCGGGUUGUAAACCGCUUUCGCCUGUGACGAAGCGUGAGUGACGGUAAUGGGUAAAGAAGCACCGGCUAACUACGUG
rnacentral:rRNA from 1 species